rnacentral:lncRNA from 14 species
AUGACCCAGUGGAUUCAGGAACGAGGCUUGCAGAAUGACCUAAACGUCAUCCUUUUCUCAGACCAUGGGAUGACUGACAUCUUCUGGAUGGAUAAAGUGAUUGAGUUGAGCAAAUACAUCAGCCUGGAUGACCUGCAGCAAGUGAAGGACCAAGGGCCCGUUGUGAGCCUGUGGCCCGUCCCAGAAAAACACUCUGAGAUAUAUCACAAACUCCGCACCGUAGAACACAUGACAGUGUAUGAGAAAGAAGCAAUACCCAACAGGUUCUAUUACAAGAAAGGGAAAUUUGUCUCUCCUUUGACCUUGGUGGCUGAUGAAGGGUGGUUCAUAGCAGAGGUAAUUAUAAAUAUUCCAAUUCUAUCCAUAGCCACAGGUAAGUAACCAUCAUUGAGAUUUUUUUUCUCCUGGGUGUGCUUUGCUUCCUUGCUUAGGAAAAAAUCAAAAGGCUGGAGGAGAUGUCUAGGUGAACACAAGCUUCAGACAUAAAUCCAGAGUUGAGAUUUAGACUUGGUGGCUGUUGAUAUUGUAUAUUUUAAUAAGUAGACCUUAACUCAAUGCCUCAAGCUUCCAU